GAUGAACGCUAGCGGCAGGCCUAACACAUGCAAGUCGAGGGGCAUCAUGGCGUAGCAAUACACUGAUGGCGACCGGCGCACGGGUGCGUAACACGUAUGCAAUCCACCUGUAACAGGGGGAUAACCCGGAGAAAUCCGGACUAAUACCCCAUAAUAUGGGCUCUCCGCAUGGAGGGUCCAUUAAAGAGAGCAAUUUUGGUUACAGACGAGCAUGCGCUCCAUUAGCCAGUUGGCGGGGUAACGGCCCACCAAAGCGACGAUGGAUAGGGGUUCUGAGAGGAAGGUCCCCCACAUUGGAACUGAGACACGGUCCAAACUCCUACGGGAGGCAGCAGUGAGGAAUAUUGGUCAAUGGUCGGCAGACUGAACCAGCCAAGUCGCGUGAGGGAAGACGGCCCUACGGGUUGUAAACCUCUUUUGUCGGAGAGUAAAGUACGCUACGUGUAGCGUAUUGCAAGUAUCCGAAGAAAAGCAUCGGCUAACUCCGUGCCAGCAGCCGCGGUAAA
rnacentral:rRNA from 1 species